rnacentral:rRNA from 1 species
CUCUACAUGCUACCCUAAGCAAGUCUGCUCCUGUCUGAUCUCGGAAGCUAAGCAGAGUCGGGCCUGGUUAGUACUUGGAUAGGAGACCAUCUAGGAAGAGCAGGUGCUGUAGGCA